GCCAAUGUAGCUCAGCCUGGCUAGAGCAUCUGCCUUGUAAGCAGAAGGUCGGGGGUCCAAAUCCCCCCAUUGGCU
rfam:Thaumarchaeota archaeon 13_1_20CM_2_39_11 13_1_20cm_2_scaffold_4707, whole genome shotgun sequence.